AUGGAGCUUUGUGGCAGGGUCCAGGAGCUCAACCAGGCUCUGAGCACAGCUAAACGGAUUGCUGCUGGCUUGAAAAAAGGCCCAGCGGUGGUCAGCAAAUCCGUGCUCCAUCCCUGCAGGACAUCUGCUGGGACCAGCAAAGAACAGGGGGGUGAUGCCCAGCAGUCAACGUCAGACCUUCUGGAGCUCUCUGCAGACCGCCCUCCAUCCAGUCCUCCAUCACCUGCAGAGUCCUCCAAUGUUAGCCCACACAUAUCUCCCGCCUCCUCUG